rnacentral:rRNA from 1 species
UACGGGGGGGGGCAAGCGUUGUUCGGAAUUACUGGGCGUAAAGGGCUCGUAGGCGGCCAACUAAGUCGGAUGUGAAAUCCCCAGGCUCAACUUGGGAACUGCAUCCGAUACUGGAUGGCUUGAAUUCGGGAGAGGGAUGCAGAAUUCCAGGUGUAGCGGUGAAAUGCGUAGUAUAUCGUGAGGAAUACCGGUGGCGAAGGCGGCAUCCUGGACCGACAUUGACGCUGAGGAGCGAAAGCUAGGGGAGCAAACGGG